rnacentral:rRNA from 1 species
GUGGGGAAUUUUGGACAAUGGGCGCGAGCCUGAUCCAGCCAUUCCGCGUGCAGGAUGAAGGCCUUCGGGUUGUAAACUGCUUUUGUACGGAACGAAAAGCCUCUGGUUAAUACCCGGGGGUCAUGACGGUACCGUAAGAAUAAGCACCGGCUAACUACGUGCCAGCAGCCGCGGUAAUACGUAGGGUGCGAGCGUUAAUCGGAAUUACUGGGCGUAAAGCGUGCGCAGGCGGUGAUGUAAGACAGUUGUGAAAUCCCCGGGCUCAACCUGGGAACUGCAUCUGUGACUGCAUUGCUGGAGUGCGGCAGAGGGGGAUGGAAUUCCGCGUGUAGCAGUGAAAUGCGUAGAUAUGCGGAGGAACACCGAUGGCGAAGGCAAUCCCCUGGGCCUGCACUGACGCUCAUGCACGAAAGCGUGGGGAGCAAACAGGAUUAGAUACCCCUGUAGUCC